CUACGGGAUGCAGCAGUGAGGGAUAUUGCACAAUGGGGGGAACCCUGAUGCAGCAACGCCGCGUGGAGGAUGACGCAUUUCGGUGUGUAAACUCCUUUUAUAUGUCAAGAAAAUGACGGUAGCAUAUGAAUAAGCACCGGCUAACUCCGUGCCAGCAGCCGCGGUAAUACGGAGGGUGCAAGCGUUACUCGGAAUGACUGGGCGUAAAGGACGCGUAGGCGGGGUGGAAAGUCAGGUGUGAAAUCCUACAGCUUAACUGUAGAACUGCACUUGAAACUUCUAAUCUAGAGUAUGGGAGGGGGAGAGGGAAUUAGUGGUGUAGGGGUAAAAUCCGUAGAUAUCACUAGGAAUACCUAAAGCGAAGGCGAUCUCCUGGAACAUUACUGACGCUAAGGCGUGAAAGCGUGGGGAGCAAACAGGAUUAGAUACCCGCGUAGUC
rnacentral:rRNA from 1 species